UCCCUACGGAGGCAGCAGUGGGGAAUAUUGCACAAUGGGGGAAACCCUGAUGCAGCGACGCCGCGUGAGUGAAGAAGUAUCUCGGUACGUAAAGCUCUAUCAGCAGGGAAGAAAAAAAGUCUUUGGCUUUGGACGGUACCUGACUAAGAAGCCCCGGCUAACUACGUGCCAGCAGCCGCGGUAAUACGUAGGGGGCAAGCGUUAUCCGGAUUUAUUGGGUUUAAAGGGUGCGCAGGCGGCGAAUUAAGUCAGCGGUAAAAUUUCGGGGCUCAACCCCGACGAGCCGUUGAAACUGGCUUGCUAGA
rnacentral:rRNA from 1 species